CAGUCGCCGCGGUAAUACGAAGGGGGCUAGCGUUGUUCGGAUUUACUGGGCGUAAAGCGCACGUAGGCGGACUUUUAAGUCAGGGGUGAAAUCCCGGGGCUCAACCCCGGAACUGCCUUUGAUACUGGGAGUCUUGAGUUCGAGAGAGGUGAGUGGAAUUGCGAGUGCAGAGGUGAAAUUCGUAGAUAUUCGCAGGAACACCAGUGGCGAAGGCGGCUCACUGGCUCGAUACUGACGCUGAGGUGCGAAAGCGUGGGGAGCAAAUGGGAUUAGAUACCCCGGUAGUCCCUGUCUCUUAUAC
rnacentral:rRNA from 1 species